rnacentral:rRNA from 1 species
UACAGAGGGGGCAAGCGUUGUUCGGAAUUACUGGGCGUAAAGGGCGCGUAGGCGGCCUGUUAAGUCGAACGUGAAAUCCCCGGGCUCAACCCGGGAACUGCGUCCGAUACUGGCAGGCUUGAAUCCGGGAGAGGGAUGCGGAAUUCCAGGUGUAGCGGUGAAAUGCGUAGAUAUCUGGAGGAACACCGGUGGCGAAGGCGGCUCUCUGGACCUGUCCUGACGCUCAGGCGCGAAAGCUAGGGGAGCGAACAGG